AACAUGUGGCAAGGAAUGGGUAAUGCCUCUCAACCAAUUGGUGAGGUUAAUUACACCCAUGGCAUCGACAUAGGUGAAGCCUACAUGCCCACUGAACAGUAACUUAACAACCUCCCUCCAGAUGGGUCCGAGAUGAACAUUGUCGUGCCAGAUCAACCUAGCGCCCCCGAAGCACGCAGGAAAGGAACUUCCAAAUGUUUGAAGAACUUCUCAACAAAGGAGGAUGAAUCCUUAUGCUCAGCGUACAUUAAUGUGAGCAAGGAUCCUAUUGUGGGAACCAACCAGCCAAUCCGAUCCUAUUGGGGAAGGAUAAAAGCUUACUUCGAAGAAGAUAGUGAACGUACCAGGUCCCAGUCUUCCCUGCAGCAUAGGUGGGCUGAUAUCCAGAAGGAUACUUCAAGAUUUUGUGGGUUUUACUCUGAGAUUGAAAGGAAAAACCAGAGUGGCAAGAGCGAUGGUGACAAGGUGAAAGACGCUCUCCAGAUGUAUGAGGGAAUUGUCGGUACCACUUUCAAGUUCAUUCAUUGAUAGGCCAAAUGGAAGAAGAUAUCUGCUUCUCGCUUGCUUUGAAGUCCUACAAAAGAUGUCCAUGGAUCGGAGCGCUUAUGAAGAACGGGUUCAGGCUGCAAGCGAAGAGGAGGCUAAAUAAAUCGCUUCUCGCUCUGAACGCAAACUCGCUAUACAGGAAGAGCAACUACAAAUCCAGAAAGCCCAAGUGGAGGUACAAAAAGAGAUGCUCCAACUGUAGAAGGAAGAUCGGGAAGAACGGAUCAUGACCAUGGAUGUCGAGAAGAUGCAACCAUGGGUCCGCAAUUACUACAUCAACAAACAGAAGAAGAUAUCUGCUAUGAGCUUCAGAGAUGAUGGUUCCAAUGGCCCUGGUGGGUAGUAGAUGCGAUUUUAUCAGCUUCUUUAUCGAAUUAUGUGUUGAACUAUGCAUGACCGGGAUGUUCCCUGAACUAGUACAAUUAUCGAAUUAUGUGUUGAACUAUGCAUGACCGUGAUGUUCCCUGAACUUGUACAAUUAUCGAAUUAUGUGUUGAACUAUGCAUGACCCUGAAUGUUCCCUAAA